rnacentral:rRNA from 1 species
UACGGAGGGUGCAAGCGUUAAUCGGAAUUACUGGGCGUAAAGGGCUCGUAGGUGGCCAACUAAGUCAGACGUGAAAUCCCUCAGCUUAACUGGGGAACUGCGUCUGAUACUGGGAGGCUUGAGUGCGGGAGAGGGAUGUGGAAUUCCAGGUGUAGCGGUGAAAUGCGUAGAUAUCUGGAGGAACACCGGUGGCGAAGGCGGCAUCCUGGACCGACACUGACGCUGAGGCGCGAAAGCCAGGGGAGCAAACGGG